rnacentral:rRNA from 1 species
AGAGUUUGAUCCUGGCUCAGGAUGAACGCUGGCGGCGUGCUUAACACAUGCAAGUCGAACGAAGCACUUGAUAUUGAUUCUUCGGAUGACUUCUUUUGUGACUUAGUGGCGGACGGGUGAGUAACGCGUGGGUAACCUGCCUCACACAGGGGGAUAACAGUUAAAAAUGACUGCUAAUACCGCAUAACCCGAUAAGAUCCCAUGAUCCAGACGGAAAAGAUUUAUCGGUGUGAGAUGGACCCGCGUCUGAUUAGCUAGUUGGUGAGGUAACGGCCCACCAAGGCGACGAUCAGUAGCCGGCCUGAGAGGGUGAACGGCCACAUUGGGACUGAGACACGGCCCAAACUCCUACGGGAGGCGGCAGUGGGGAAUAUUGCACAAUGGAGGAAAACCCUGAUGCAGCGACGCCGCGUGAGUGAAGAAGUAUUUCGGUAUGUAAAGCUCUAUCAGCAGGGAAGAAAAUGACGGUACCUGACUAAGAAGCCCCGGCUAACUACGUGCCAGCAGCCGCGGUAAUACGUAGGGGGCAAGCGUUAUCCGGAUUUACUGGGUGUAAAGGGAGCGUAGACGGUCAAGCAAGUCAGAAGUGAAAGCCUGGGGCUCAACCCCGGGGCUGCUUUUGAAACUGUUUGACUGGAGUGUUGGAGAGGUAAGCGGAAUUCCUAGUGUAGCGGUGAAAUGCGUAGAUAUUAGGAGGAACACCAGUGGCGAAGGCGGCUUACUGGACAGUAACUGACGUUGAGGCUCGAAAGCGUGGGGAGCAAACAGGAUUAGAUACCCUGGUAGUCCACGCCGUAAAC